UUGAUUUACCCAAUACUAAUGGGAACCAUUGAGCAUUUGCCUUGUGGUGUCUCCUCAGCUGUAUUCACACAUUCCAUCACCUUGUCUUAAUGGAUAAUCAUGCACUAACAAGCCUUACCAGUGGCUUCAGAGGAAGAACAGCAAAGGCGUGAAAGAAGUGAAAAGAAGCAACCACAGGUCAUAGAAGGAAAUAAUACAUACAAAAGUGAAAAAAUACAACUAUCAGAAAAUAUAUGUCAUAGUACAUUUUCUGCUGCUGCUGACAGAUUAACCCAACAAAGAAAGAUUGGGAAAACAUAUCCUCAGCAAUUUCCCAAGAAACUGAAGGAAGAGCAUGAUAGAUGCACCUUAAAACAAGAAAAUGAAGAAAAAACAAAUGUUAAUAUGCUGCACAAAAAAAA
rnacentral:lncRNA from 1 species